rnacentral:lncRNA from 1 species
AGGUGCAUGGCAAAAAUAUAGUUUCUCAUUUCUCAAUUAUUUUUUUAUUUUAUAAAAUUCAGUUUUUUUGCCUUUUAUCCUUGUGGUUUUUUACGUGGUGUGAAAAAAUAAAAUAUUAAUUUUGUAUUGCAUUUAUGAAUUUUCUUUAUAUAUUUUUAACCUUUUGUCCUUUGUGAACUAUAUUAUUAGCUUGUGCUAAAUUCAUAUUUUAAUGGAAAAAACUGAUGUUAUAAAAUUAUAUAGAUUGAAAAUGUACUAAUAUGAUCAAUUUUAUUUUUUUUAAGUAA